rnacentral:tRNA from 1 species
GUGGACGUAGUUUAAUGGCUAAAACGGUGGCCUCCGGUUCCGCAGAUAGGGUUUCGAUUACCCCCGUCCACUCCA